rnacentral:rRNA from 1 species
AGAGUUUGAUCCUGGCUCAGAACGUACGCUGGCGGCACGCCUAACACAUGCAAGUCGAACGAAGUAGCAAUACUUAGUGGCAGACGGGUGAGUAACAUGUAGGUAUCUGCCCUUUGGCCUGGAAUAACACGAGGAAACUUGUGCUAAUACCGGAUAAGUCUUUACGGAGAAAGCUUUAUGCACCAUUGGAUGAGCCUGCACUUGAUUAGUUUGUUGGUGGGGUAAUGGCCUACCAAGACUGUGAUCAAUAGCUGAUUUGAGAGGAUGAUCAGCCACAUUGGGACUGAGACACGGCCCAAACUCCUACGGGAGGCAGCAGUGGGGAAUCUUGCACAAUGGAGGAAACUCUGAUGCAGCGAUGCCGCGUGAGUGAAGAAGGCCCUUGGGUUGUAAAGCUCUUUCGUCGGGGAAGAAAAUGACUGUACCCGAAUAAGAAGGUCCGGCUAACUUCGUGCCAGCAGCCGCGGUAAUACGAAGGGACCUAGCGUAGUUCGGAAUUACUGGGCUUAAAGAGUUCGUAGGUGGUUGAAAAAGUUGGUGGUGAAAUCCCAGAGCUUAACUCUGGAACUGCCAUCAAAACUUUUCAGCUAGAGUAUGAUAGAGGAAAGCAGAAUUUCUAGUGUAGAGGUGAAAUUCGUAGAUAUUAGAAAGAAUACCGAUUGCGAAGGCAGCUUUCUGGAUCAUUACUGACACUGAGGAACGAAAGCAUGGGUAGCGAAGAGGAUUAGAUACCCUCGUAGUCCAUGCCGUAAACGAUGUGUGUUAGACGUUGGAAAUUUAUUUUCAGUGUCGCAGCGAAAGCGAUAAACACACCGCCUGGGGAGUACGACCGCAAGGUUAAAACUCAAAUGAAUUGACGGGGACCCGCACAAGUAGUGGAGCAUGUGGUUUAAUUCGAAGAUACGCGCAGAACCUUACCAACACUUGACAUGUUCGUCGCGACUUUAAGAGAUUAAAGUUUUCGGUUCGGCCGGACGAAACACAGGUGCUGCAUGGCUGUCGUCAGCUCGUGUCGUGAGAUGUUGGGUUAAGUCCCGCAACGAGCGCAACCCUCACUUUUAGUUGCCAUCAUUUAGUUGGGCACUCUGAAAGAACUGCCAGUGAUAAGCUGGAGGAAGGUGGGGAUGACGUCAAGUCCUCAUGGCCCUUACGUGUUGGGCUACACACGUGCUACAAUGGUACUUACAACAGGAAGCAAAACGGCGACGUUAAGCAAAUCCUUAAAAAGUACCUCAGUUCGGAUUGCACUCUGCAACUCGAGUGCAUGAAGCUGGAAUUACUAGUAAUCGUGGAUCAGCGUGCCACGGUGAAUGCGUUCCCGGGUCUUGUACACACCGCCCGUCACACCAUGGGAGUUGGUUCUACCUUAAGGCAAGGUUUCAAACCCUUGACCACGGUAUAGUCAGCGACUGGGGUGAAGUCGUAACAAGGUA